AACGAACGCUGGCGGCAUGCCUAACACAUGCAAGUCGAACGAAGCCUUCGGGCUUAGUGGCGCACGGGUGCGUAACGCGUGGGAAUCUGCCCUUUGGUUCGGAAUAACAGUUGGAAACGACUGCUAAUACCGGAUGAUGACGAAAGUCCAAAGAUUUAUCGCCAGAGGAUGAGCCCGCGUAGGAUUAGCUAGUUGGUGUGGUAAAGGCGCACCAAGGCGACGGUCCUUAGCUGGUCUGAGAGGAUGAUCAGCCACACUGGGACUGAGACACGGCCCAGACUCCUACGGGAGGCAGCAGUGGGGAAUAUUGGACAAUGGGCGAAAGCCUGAUCCAGCAAUGCCGCGUGAGUGAUGAAGGCCCUAGGGUUGUAAAGCUCUUUUACCCGGGAUGAUAAUGUCAGUACCGGGAGAAUAAGCCCCGGCUAACUCCGUGCCAGCCGCCGCGGUAA
rnacentral:rRNA from 1 species